rnacentral:rRNA from 1 species
CUACGGGUGGCUGCAGUGGGGAAUAUUGCACAAUGGAGGAAACUCUGAUGCAGCAACGCCGCGUGGAGGAUGACACUUUUCGGAGCGUAAACUCCUUUUAUAUAGGAAGAUAAUGACGGUACUAUAUGAAUAAGCACCGGCUAACUCCGUGCCAGCAGCCGCGGUAAUACGGAGGGUGCAAGCGUUACUCGGAAUCACUGGGCGUAAAGAGCGUGUAGGCGGGUUAAUAAGUCAGAAGUGAAAUCCUAUGGCUCAACCAUAGAACUGCUUUUGAAACUGUUAACCUAGAGUGUGGGAGAGGUAGAUGGAAUUUCUGGUGUAGGGAUAAAAUCCGUAGAGAUCAGAAGGAAUACCGAUUGCGAAGGCGAUCUGCUAGAACAUAACUGACGCUGAGACGCGAAAGCGUGGGGAGCAAACAGGAUUAGAUACCCCGGUAGUC